rnacentral:rRNA from 1 species
GACGAACGCUGGCGGCGUGCCUAAUACAUGCAAGUAGGACGCAGUUGCGAACGGGUGAGUAACGCGUUGGUAACUACCUAUUAGAGGGGGAUAACUAUUGGAAACGAUAGCUAAUACCUCAUACUAGUAGAUGGACCUGCGUUUUAUUAGCUAGUAGGUAGGGUAAUGGCCUACCUAGGCAACGAUACAUAGCCGAACUGGUAGGGUGAUCGGCCACACUGGGACUGGGCAACGGGCCAGAAUCCUAAGGGAGGCAGAAGGAAGGAAGUGUCGGGAAUGGGGGGAAACCUGACCGAGCAACGCCGCGUGAGUGAAGAAGGUUUUCGGAUCGUAAAGCUCUGUUGUUAAGGAAGCGGUACUUAACCAGAAAGGGACGGCUAACUACGUGCCAGCAGCCGCGGUAAUAC